ACCUUGUUAAGCAUUAUGCAAGCCAGUACAAAGCAUUUCAUAACACAGCAUUGAUAAAAGCAUUGUUAUCUUUUUCUAGGCUAAAUUCUUAUGCUGGAAGAACCAGCUGUUACAAAGUCAGCGUAAAUCAGUGGCAGUCUUUGACGCAGGCCCUAAAUCCAGGGUGCCUCUGCUGAAAUCGGUGCUGGUACUUCAGAUUAACACCAUGGUAACUGAGAUCAGAACCUGAUCCGCAGUCUUAGGUCAUAUUAUUCCAGAAGGAGUAAAUUUUCUUAAGUAUGUGGCAUUUUUUUACCUGAUUUUGUGGGUUCCCUCCACUCUUCCUUUCGCCUCUGGUUACACGGCGUUUAUUCCCGUCAACAGGACACAAUGGAUGUGCUGAAAAGUGGCAGAGUGGAGCAGCAGUUAAAAUUGGUCUUGCAAAUACAUCCAGUGCCUUCAGGAAGAUUAAUCUGAGUGAAGUACCUGAAAAGCUGGAAAAGCCUCCAUAUACUUCUGAAUGCACAUAUUCAUUUGGAGCUGAUUGCUGUUCCUCUGGUGCCCUGUAAAUCCUUGAGGAAUGCAGCUGAGGUUACUGGAAUCUCUUAAGAGGGAAAAGAACAUCAGAGAAUGGGAGGAGGGCACGAGUUUCUUCCCUGGGAGCAGACAACAGAGUGUAGCUACUGCUUUCACACAGCGAGUCCCAGUUAAGGACAACUGUGCUGUCACAACUGCC
rnacentral:lncRNA from 1 species